rnacentral:misc_RNA from 1 species
AAGUCGUAACAAGGUUUCCGUAGGUGAACCUGCGGAAGGAUCAUUACCAAUCCAAAAACACAACCCCAUGUGAACUGUUGUUUUGUCUGUCUUUGGGGGGGACGGCUCGUUAAUAGGGCUCUGUUCCUUUUACCAAGUUUUGUUCCCCCCAUGUUUAUUAAACACCUAUGGUCUUUCGUUGGAAUAUCUUUUUAUUAGCAAUAAUAAAAGACAACUUUUAACGGUGGAUCUCUUGGCUCGUG